UGCCAGACUCCUACGGGAGGCAGCAGUGAGGAAUAUUGGUCAAUGGGCGGGAGCCUGAACCAGCCAAGUCGCGUGAGGGAAGACGGUCCUAUGGAUUGUAAACCUCUUUAGGCGGGGAGCAAUGCCGGGCACGCGUGCCCGGAGGGAGAGUACCCGCAGAAUAAGCAUCGGCUAACUCCGUGCCAGCAGCCGCGGUAAUACGGAGGAUGCGAGCGUUAUCCGGAUUUAUUGGGUUUAAAGGGUGCGCAGGCGGAAUAUCAAGUCAGCGGUAAAAUGGAGAGGCUCACCCUCUUCGAGCCGUUGAAACUGGUUUUCUUGAGUGAGCGAGAAGUAUGCGGAAUGCGUGGUGUAGCGGUGAAAUGCAUAGAUAUCAGGAGGAACACCGGUGGCGAAGGCGGCUUACUGGACCAUAACUGACGUUGAGGCUCGAAAGCGUGGGGAGCGAACAGGAUUAGAUACCCGGGUA
rnacentral:rRNA from 1 species